GGGGCUGUAGCUCAGCGGUAGAGCACUUGCCUCGCAGGUGUGAGACCCUGGGUCCGACCCUCAGCACCACUA
rnacentral:tRNA from 1 species